GAAGCAGAAACACGACGGGCGGGUGAAGAUCGGCCACUACAUCCUGGGUGACACGCUGGGGGUCGGCACCUUCGGCAAAGUGAAGGUUGGCAAACAUGAAUUGACUGGGCAUAAAGUAGCUGUGAAGAUACUCAAUCGACAGAAGAUUCGGAGCCUUGAUGUGGUAGGAAAAAUCCGCAGAGAAAUUCAGAACCUCAAGCUUUUCAGGCAUCCUCAUAUAAUUAAACUGUACCAGGUCAUCAGUACACCAUCUGAUAUUUUCAUGGUGAUGGAAUAUGUCUCAGGAGGAGAGCUAUUUGAUUAUAUCUGUAAGAAUGGAAGGCUGGAUGAGAAAGAAAGUCGGCGUCUGUUCCAACAGAUCCUUUCUGGUGUGGAUUAUUGUCACAGGCAUAUGGUGGUCCAUAGAGAUUUGAAACCUGAAAAUGUCCUGCUUGAUGCACACAUGAAUGCAAAGAUAGCUGAUUUUGGUCUUUCAAACAUGAUGUCAGAUGGUGAAUUUUUAAGAACAAGUUGUGGCUCACCCAACUAUGCUGCACCAGAAGUAAUUUCAGGAAGAUUGUAUGCAGGCCCAGAGGUAGAUAUAUGGAGCAGUGGGGUUAUUCUCUAUGCUUUAUUAUGUGGAACCCUUCCAUUUGAUGAUGACCAUGUGCCAACUCUUUUUAAGAAGAUAUGUGAUGGGAUCUUCUAUACCCCUCAAUAUUUAAAUCCUUCUGUGAUUAGCCUUUUGAAACAUAUGCUGCAGGUGGAUCCCAUGAAGAGGGCCACAAUCAAAGAUAUCAGGGAACAUGAAUGGUUUAAACAGGACCUUCCAAAGUAUCUCUUUCCUGAGGAUCCAUCAUAUAGUUCAACCAUGAUUGACGAUGAAGCCUUAAAAGAAGUAUGUGAAAAGUUUGAGUGCUCAGAAGAGGAAGUUCUCAGCUGUCUUUAUAACAGAAAUCACCAGGAUCCUUUGGCAGUUGCCUACCAUCUCAUAAUAGAUAAUAGGAGAAUAAUGAAUGAAGCCAAAGAUUUCUAUUUGGCGACAAGCCCACCUGAUUCUUUUCUUGAUGAUCAUCACCUGACUCGGCCCCAUCCUGAAAGAG
rnacentral:sRNA from 1 species